GAUGAACGCUAGCGGCAGGCCUAAUACAUGCAAGACGAACGGUAAGUUGAGUAGCAAUACUUAGCCAAGAGUGUCGUACGGGUGCGUAACACGUAUGCAACCUACCCUAUACAGGAGGAUAGCCUAGGGAAACCUGGAUUAACCCUUCAUAGUAUUAUUGGAUGGCAUCAUUUGAUAAUUAAAACUGAGGUGGUAUAGGAUGGGCAUGCGUCUGAUUAGUUAGUUGGCGGGGUAAUGGCCCACCAAGACGAUGAUCAGUAGGGGUUCUGAGAGGAAGAUCCCCCACACUGGCACUGAGAUACGGGCCAGACUCCUACGGGAGGCAGCAGUAGGGAAUAUUGGUCAAUGGAUGCAAGUCUGAACCAGCCAUGCCGCGUGCAGGAAGAAGGCCUUCUGGGGUUGUAAACUGCUUUUUGCCAGGGGAUAAAAUUUCCAUGCGUGGAAAACUGAAGGUACCUGGUGAAUAAGCCACGGCUAACUACGUGCCAGCAGCCGCGGUAAU
rnacentral:rRNA from 1 species